rnacentral:rRNA from 1 species
AGAGUUUGAUCAUGGCUCAGAACGAACGCUGGCGGCAGGCCUAACACAUGCAAGUCAAACGAAGCCUUCGGGUUUAGUGGCGGACGGGUGAGUAACGCGUGGGAACGUGCCCUUCUCUACGGAAUAGUCCUGGGAAACUGGGUUUAAUACCGUAUACGCCCUUCGGGGGAAAGAAUUUCGGGGAAGGAUCGGCCCGCGUUGGAUUAGGUAGUUGGUGGGGUAAUGGCCCACCAAGCCGACGAUCCAUAGCUGGUUUGAGAGGAUGAUCAGCCACACUGGGACUGAGACACGGCCCAGACUCCUACGGGAGGCAGCAGUGGGGAAUCUUAGACAAUGGGGGCAACCCUGAUCUAGCCAUGCCGCGUGAGUGACGAAGGCCCUAGGGUCGUAAAGCUCUUUCGCCAGGGAUGAUAAUGACAGUACCUGGUAAAGAAACCCCGGCUAACUCCGUGCCAGCAGCCGCGGUAAUACGGAGGGGGUUAGCGUUGUUCGGAAUUACUGGGCGUAAAGCGCGCGUAGGCGGACUAUUAAGUCAGAAGUGAAAUCCCGGGGCUCA